rnacentral:rRNA from 1 species
UGCAGUCGAACGGUGAUGAGGAGCUUGCUUCUCUGAUCAGUGGCGAACGGGUGAGUAACACGUGAGCAAUCUGCCCUUGACUCUGGGAUAAGCGUUGGAAACGACGUCUAAUACCGGAUACGACUCUUGGAGGCAUCUCUGGGGGUGGAAAGAAUUUUGGUCAAGGAUGAGCUCGCGGCCUAUCAGCUUGUUGGUGAGGUAAUGGCUCACCAAGGCGACGACGGGUAGCCGGCCUGAGAGGGUGACCGGCCACACUGGGACUGAGACACGGCCCAGACUCCUACGGGAGGCAGCAGUGGGGAAUAUUGCACAAUGGGCGAAAGCCUGAUGCAGCAACGCCGCGUGAGGGACGACGGCCUUUCGGGUUGUAAACCUCUUUUAGUAGGGAAGAAGCGAAAGUGACGGUACCUGCAGAAAAAGCACCGGCUAACUACGUGCCAGCAGCCGCGGUAAUACGUAGGGUGCAAGCGUUGUCCGGAAUUAUUGGGCGUAAAGAGCUCGUAGGCGGUUUGUCGCGUCUGCUGUGAAAACCCGAGGCUCAACCUCGGGCCUGCAGUGGGUACGGGCAGACUAGAGUGCGGUAGGGGAGAUUGGAAUUCCUGGUGUAGCGGUGGAAUGCGCAGAUAUCAGGAGGAACACCAAUGGCGAAGGCAGAUCUCUGGGCCGUAACUGACGCUGAGGAGCGAAAGCAUGGGGAGCGAACAGGAUUAGAUACCCUGGUAGUCCAUGCCGUAAACGUUGGGAACUAGAUGUGGGGACCAUUCCACGGUCUCCGUGUCGCAGCUAACGCAUUAAGUUCCCCGCCUGGGGAGUACGGCCGCAAGGCUAAAACUCAAAGGAAUUGACGGGGGCCCGCACAAGCGGCGGAGCAUGCGGAUUAAUUCGAUGCAACGCGAAGAACCUUACCAAGGCUUGACAUAUAGAGGAAACGGCUGGAAACAGUCGCCCCGCAAGGUCUCUAUACAGGUGGUGCAUGGUUGUCGUCAGCUCGUGUCGUGAGAUGUUGGGUUAAGUCCCGCAACGAGCGCAACCCUCGUCCUAUGUUGCCAGCACGUAAUGGUGGGAACUCAUGGGAUACUGCCGGGGUCAACUCGGAGGAAGGUGGGGAUGACGUCAAAUCAUCAUGCCCCUUAUGUCUUGGGCUUCACGCAUGCUACAAUGGCCGGUACAAAGGGCUGCAAUACCGUAAGGUGGAGCGAAUCCCAAAAAGCCGGUCUCAGUUCGGAUUGAGGUCUGCAACUCGACCUCAUGAAGUCGGAGUCGCUAGUAAUCGCAGAUCAGCAACGCUGCGGUGAAUACGUUCCCGGGCCUUGUACACACCGCCCGUCAAGUCAUGAAAGUCGGUAACACCCGAAGCCAGUGGCCUAACCCGUAAGGGGAGGAG